rnacentral:tRNA from 1 species
GGGGUGUUAGCUCAGAGGGAGAGCAUCUGCUUUGCAAGCAGAGGGUCAAGGGUUCGAAUCCCUUACACUCCACCA